UCUGAUGAUAGUUUGAAUAGA
rnacentral:piRNA from 1 species